rnacentral:rRNA from 1 species
UACGAAGGUCCCAAGCGUUAUCCGGAUUUAUUGGGUUUAAAGGGUGCGUAGGCGGAUUAUUAAGUCAGUGGUGAAAGCUUCGAGCUCAACUCGAAAACUGCCAUUGAUACUGAUGAUCUUGAGUAUGAUUGAAGUGGGCGGAAUGUGUCAUGUAGCGGUGAAAUGCUUAGAUAUGACACAGAAACACCGAUUCGCGAAGGCAGCUCACUAAGCCAUAACUGACGCUGGAUGCACGAAAGCGUGGGGAGCAAACAGG